rnacentral:rRNA from 1 species
AUUGGACGCUGGCGGCAUGCUUUACACAUGCCAGUCGGACGGCAGCACAGAGAAGCUUGCUUCUUGGGUGGCGAGUGGCGAACGGGUGAGUAAUAUAUCGGAACGUACCGAGUAAUGGGGGAUAACUAAUCGAAAGAUUAGCUAAUACCGCAUAUUCUCUGAGGAGGAAAGCAGGGGACCUUCGGGCCUUGCGUUAUUCGAGCGGCCGAUAUCUGAUUAGCUAGUUGGUGGGGUAAAGGCCUACCAAGGCGACGAUCAGUAGCGGGUCUGAGAGGAUGAUCCGCCACACUGGGACUGAGACACGGCCCAGACUCCUACGGGAGGCAGCAGUGGGGAAUUUUGGACAAUGGGCGCAAACCUGAUCCAGCCAUGCCGCGUGUCUGAAGAAGGCCUUCGGGUUGUAAAGGACUUUUGUCAGGGAAGAAAAGGCUGUUGCUAAUACCGACAGCUGAUGACGGUACCUGAAGAAUAAGCACCGGCUAACUACGUG